GAGAGCACCGCCCACAGGCUGAAGAUCCUGCCCCUUCAGGACGGCCGAGAACGCGCCUGCCUUGCACCACCCCCACCCCGCCCCGCGUCCUUCAGGAGAGCCGGAAACGCUCCUACCCCUACUUCGCUUCUGCACGGCCGCGAGAACGCACCUGUCCAGCCCCCUGUUCGCUCCGCCCACUCAGCGCGCGCGGGAGCGCGCGCGGGAGCAGCUCCAACUUUUUCAAUUUGCCGCCAUCUUUACGGCGGCCGACUUCCCAGCCUGCCUCGCGUCCAGGGAGGCGGAGCUCAGGUCUCUGAAAAGGGGACGGGGGGCGGGGGACGGGGGACGGGGGCCGGCGGGAGGGGACGCGGCCGGCAGAUGGCGAAGGAGGGGCGCGAGGAGGCGGCCACUGUUGAGGGGCGGGGCGUCCCGCCGAGAGUCUGGGUGCGGUGCGGUUUUCUUUUUUCUUGUGUCCCACUUUAUUCCCUGAGCCACAGGGAAUCCGUUUUCUAGUACUUCUCUGUUAUAAAGUCUGCCUGCCUUAGACAAACACAUUUGGAAAAUAGAAGUGCAACCACAAGGAUGUGCAGACCCUAUCAGAAUAAAAUCGUAGAACCUUACCAGUCAUCCGGUAUAAUUUCCACAUUUUCCAGAUGAGGUCCGGGGAAUGAGGUGAUUCGCCCAAAAGCACACUACAAAUUGGAGUCACCAGCAGGUCUGCUAUUUUGCCACUAAACCAAUCUGCCGGUAAGAACUUUGUAGCACAGCUAGAAUGUAAACUGUGUUUUUUUGGUGGUUUUUUUUUUUUUUUGAGACGGAGCCUUGCUCUGUCGCCCAGGCUGGAGUGCCAGUGGCGUGGAUCUCGGCUCACUGCAAGCUCUGCCUCGCGGGUUCACGCCGUUCUCCUGCCUCAGCCUCCCGAGUAGCUGGGACUACAGGCGCCAGCCACCACACCUGGCUAAUUUUUGUAUUUUUAGUAGAGACGGGGUUUCACCAUGGUCUGGAUCUCCUGACCUGGUGAUCCGCCCACCUCGGCCUCCCAAAGUGCUGGGAUUACAGGCGUGAGCCACCGCGCCCGGCCUAAUAAUUCUUUAUAUUAAACUUUUCUUUACUGUGUUUCUGUCUCCUGACUGGGCCUAUGUUAUACUGAUAUUCAAAAGAAAUACUUGGUCUCUAGACCUCUCCAAAGGCAUAAGUAUUCCAUUCUCUGCAAGAUAAAGCAGAGAUAGUGGAAACACCCUUUCAAUCUGCCUUCUGCAAUAAUCCAGCUUGCCACAUUUACACACGCAAAUGAUGUAGCGCAUCUGGUUGUCAUUAUUUUCCCACCAUUCACAGAACAAAGGCCUGAUAUUUAAAGUCUUCCACCGUCUUCCACAAAUGCAUAUUUAUCACUCCAUAAUACAGUAAACAACACUACUAAAACUUCUCUUAGCCUAACUCUGGAUGUGCUGACUUCCUCAGGCUGUUCUUAUCCAUCAGAAUACCUUUGCCCUGUCUUUGCAUACACAGGUUCAUGCUUCAAGCAAAAGUCCACUGGCUAAUGAUCAGAUGGUGAUAACUGGGAAUAAAGACAAUAAAAUGAGAAAAGCAAAAAGGCUGUUAGCUUGCUAUAACAAGGGAGUCAGCCACCAUCAUUUGUAUUUGGAUGAGACUCAAUGUCAGGCAGAGGAGUGGGUAAGCUUUAUAGUGAAAAAAGGGAAGCCUCCAGGGAUGUCCUCAUUUGAGGCUGUUGGCCUGGGGAAGCAAGGGGCAGGGCAUCCCAAGUGAUUGGUUAGGGGCACAUAUUUGUCUUUCUCUGGUUGCUCCUAAGCUGGAAGCAGGACCGAAAACUAGGAAAGCUGCCAGUUUUUUUUUAAUUGACAAAUAAUUUUUUGUUUCUUUUGUAUUUUUAGAGAUAAAGUCUCACUCUGUCCUUCAGGUUAGAGUGCAGUGAUGCAGUCAUGGCUCACUGAAGCUUCAACCUCCUGGGCUCAAGCAAUCCUCCCAUCUCAGCCUCCCAAGUAGCUGGGACUACAAGGACGCAUCACCAAGCCUGGCUAAUUUUAGUAUAUUUUUGUUGAGACAAGGUCACACUAUGUUGCCCAGGCUGGUCUCAAACUCCUAGGCUCAAGCAAUCCUCCCUCCUCAGCCUCCCAAAGUGCUGGGAUUAUAGGCAUGAGCCAUCGCACCCAGCUAACACAUAAUAAUUGUACAUAUUUAUGAGGUACAUGUGAUUUGUGUGUGUGUGUGAGGCAGAGUCUCACUCUGUCACCCAGGCUGGAGUGCAGUGGCAUGAUUUCAGCUCACUGCAACCUCUGCCUCCCAGGUUCAAGCAAUUCUCCUGCCUCAGCUUCCCAAGUAGCUGGGAUUACAGGCAUGCACCACCACACCAGGCUAAUUUUUUUUUUUUUUUUUUUUUUGAGACAGAGUCUUACUCUGUAUUGCCCAGGCUGUAGUGCAGUGGUGCAAUCUCAGCUCACUGCAACAUCCACCCCCCAGUUUCAAGCGAUUCUCCUGCCUCCGGAGUAGCUGGAAUUACAGGUGCCCACUACCACGCCCGGCUAAUUUCUGUAUUUUUAGUAGAGACAGGGUUUCACCAUGUUGCCCAGGCUGGUCUCGAACUCCUGGCCUCAUGUGAUCUGUCCACCUUAGCCUCCCAAAGUGCUGAGAUUACAGGCAUGAGCCACUGCACCCGGCCAAAAUACAUGUGAUAUUUUGAUACAUGCAUAUGAUGUGUAAUAAUAAAAUCAGGGUAUUUAGGAUAUUCGUCACCUGAACACUUAUUUCUUUGUGUUGGAGACAUUUCAGAUCUCUCCUAGCUAUUCUGAAAUAUACAGUACAUUGUUAUUAACUAUAGUCAUCUUACUCUGCUAUGGAACAUUAGAAUUUAGGCUGGGUGUGGUGGCUCAAACCCGUAAUCCGAGCACUUGGAGAGGCUAAGCUGGGAAGAUCACGUGAACCCAGGAAUUGGAGACCAGCCUGGGCAAUAUAGUGAGAUCCUUCUUCUACAAAAAAUACAAAAAUUAGCUGGGCAUAGUGGUGUGCACCUGUGGUCCCAGCUACUCAGGGGCCUGAAGUGGGGUCCUUGAGCCCAGGAGGUCGAGGCUGCAGUGAGCUGUCAUUGCACCACUGCACUCCAGCCUGGGCAACAAGCCAGAUCUGUCUCACACACACACACACACACACACACACACACACACCCAUGAGAAAUUAUUGCUUCUAUUUAGCUGUAUGUUUGUACACGCUAACCAACCUCUCUUCAGCCCCCUACUUUCCCCCAACACACACCCUUCCCAGCCUCUGGUGGCUAUCAUCCCAGUCUCUAUCUCAAUGAGAUGAAUAUUUGUUUAGCUCCCACAUAUGAGUGAGUAAAUGCAAUACUUGUCUUUGUUUUUUUGUUUAAAAAAAAAUUUACAGGGAUGAGGUCACUAUGUUGCCCAGGCUGGUCUCCAACUCCUAGGUUCAAGCCAUCCUCCCACUUCAGCCUCCCAAGUAUUGGGAUUACAGGCUUACAUAGUGACCUCUAGCUCUAUUUAUGUUGCUGCAAAUGACAUUUUCAUUUUUUUUUCCUAUGGCCAAAUAGUAUUCUAUUGUGUAUAUAUACUAAUUUUUUUUGACAUGAGGUCUCACUCUGUCACCCAGGCUGGAGUGCAGUGGUAUGAUCACUGCUCACUACAGCCUUGAUCUCAUAGACUCAAGAGAUCCUCCCACCUCAGCCUCCCCAGUAGCUGGAACCACAGGUGUCUGCUAUCACACCUGGCUAAUUUUUUUACUUUUUGUAGAGAUGAGGUCUCUAUGUUGCCCAGGCUGCUCUCAAAUUCCUGGGCUCAAGCAAUCCUCGCGCCUCAGCCUCCCAAAGUGCUGGGAUUAUAGGCUUGAGUCACCACGCUCAACCUUAUUUUUUGUCUUUUUUUUUUUUUUAGAGACAGGGCUUCCCUCUGUUACCCAGGCUGGAGUGCAGUGGCAUGAUCUUAGCUCACCGCAGCUUGAGCUAAGGAGCUGGGCUCCUGGGCUCAAUGGAUCCUCCCACCUCAGCCUCCUAAGUAGCUGGGACUGCAGGUGCGCCAACACCCUUAUUUUUUGCCUUUUUGAUAAUAACCAUUCUAAAUGGGGUGAAAUGGUAUCUCAUUGUGGUUUUGAUUUGCAUUUCCCUGAUGACUCAUGAUAUUGAGUAUUUUUUUAUAUGUACCUAUUUGUUUUUUGUACAUCUUCUUUUGAGAAAUGUCUACUCAGAUUCUUCGCCCACUUUUUAAUGGAUUAUUUGUGGUUUUUUGCUGUCAAGUUGUUUGAGUUCCUUGUAUAUUCUGGAUAUUAGUCCCUUGCCGCAUGAAUAGUUUGCAAAUAUUUUCUCCCAUUCUAAAGGUUGUCUUUUCACUCAGUUGAUUGUUUCCAUUGCUGUGCAGAAGCUUUUUAGUUUCGCUUAAUAUAGUCCCAUUUGUCUAUUUUUGGUUUUGUUGCCUAUGCUUUUGAAAUUUUAGCCAUAAAAUCUUUGCCUCGUUCAAUGUCUUGAAGCAUUUCCC
rnacentral:lncRNA from 1 species